CCCGGCGGGGACAGCCCCUCGGCGCACCCUCCCCAGGCCGCAAAUCGCCUGGCCCCGGUAUGGAAAGGAGGGAAGGGGAGGAAGAAGGCGCAGAGCAGGGUUUCCCUCUAUGGCCACACCGCAGAGAGGAGAGAGAUAUACAGGUUUUCAGGCUAAUGGAAGAAUAAGAGAGUAGUCCAGAAUAUUACAAUUACCACAUUCUACUCAUGCCUGAAUUAAGGUACCAGCCACUUUUCUGCAGCACUGGUUUCAAAGCUUGAAAGCCACCAAAGUUUUCAUGAGUUGUCUUUGCAAUAUGCCACGUGAGACUGAUGAUUCAGGAAACAGCAUUUGCUAGAAUACCCUUUACUUCUUAAAGGUUCCCAUUCCUGUACCAGCAAUAGCCAAAUGGAUUGCAUGUUUACUCCAUCUGCUACCACAAUUUACAGUGAAAGGUAAACUACCAGUGAUUUCAGCAAAUGCCAAGAUAUGGGAGCUGCAACAGCUGGAAUGCAAGUAAUUCCUGUUAUACAGAGGGUAAGUGUCAAAAAAGUGAAUUCCAGCCAGUCCAAUUGUAUCUGUGGUCUCUGGUCUGAUAUGAUGCUGGAAAUGGUUGGAAUGCAUUGCCUAGGAAAUCCUUCAUUUCACUAAAGAAAGUAAGUCUCUGCCUGCAUAAUGUGUAGUUACCAAUGAAAGUUGGUUGAAGUGCAACAGAAUCAGUUUAUAUUUACACACUUCUAAGUUUCAGCUCUUGACUUUCAUUGCUUUAUUAGGACGUUAAACUUUCUAACAAGCUUCAUGUCUAAUUAGACUUCGGUAUCACAGCACCCUGUGAAAACAAAUUCAGUUUGACUUAACCCGAAUAUCAGAGAAUACACUGUAAUUCAUAGCCCUGCCUAUUCGGCUAAAAACACAUCAUGCAAGGCUAGAUAAUGCUCACUACACCAAGCUAUACUUCGUAGUGGUUUCAGGCUGCAUCUUAGAGCCUGUUGUUUAUUAAGUUGCAAUCUUGGUUAGUAAUUCAGUCAAAGUUAUUUUGAGUACUUCUGAACCCAUAAAGGUCUAGUGGAGAUUUGACUGUACUAGCUUGAGAUUCAGUGCUACUGGUCUAACCGCUCCAUUUUUCAGAUGACAUAGCCCAAGGAUUAUACCCACAUUCUCAACCUCAUUUUGGGAUAAAAUAUCCCUCAUAGUGUGUUUCAAUCUUCAUGUUAAUUCAGUCAAGCAGUUGUCAGGUGACUGGUCAUCUCACCCCUUUGAUUUAAAAGCAAGGCAACAGCUACAUUUCUGAGCACAAGUGACAGCGCCAUCAGCAACUAAACCAUCUUAACAAAGAACAGACAGGUUUGGGUUUGUUGUGGGGGUUUUUUUGUACAUUUGUACCUCUUUCACACUUCUUACAGGUAAAGCACAUGUUUACACUGUUCCUUUUGGAGAAUUAAUAUGAUUACACAGAUGCAAGUUUCAAGUUAACCCUAAAAGCAAACUGCUCAGAGGUAAAGUUCUGGGGAGAAGAGUUCACAAGCUAAUUGCAAAGAUUUUAGAAGUUCAUAAAACCAGUUAUGAAGGUUGAUGCAAAAAUGCUUGCUAGAUCUAAUGCUAAAGAGAUGCCACAAGAGAAAACUGGUCAUUGCUGCCUGGUUAGUGAUAUAGGUGUUAAAAUAACCAGCAGUGGCAGUAAGCAAGCUGCAGUCAGCUUGCAGGACGCAUGCACACAUAACCUUGUUGUGUAGUCACAUCAGAGAAAAUUUUAACUCCUCCCUCCAUCCUCCAACCUACAUUGGCCAAGUCUUUGCUGAAAUUAUAGAAUCCAUUAAAGACUACAGGCUUCUCAAGACUCAAAAAAAAUCAGGACUAUGUGUAAAAAGACAUUCACAAUAGAAGGACAGGCCCCUUGACAUAUUUUGAUGGCGGACUGGGGAGAGACUACCCAACAUAUUGCCUUUGAAAAAGUGCUGUU